rnacentral:lncRNA from 1 species
GCAUCCUGAAAACACCCAAGCAGAGGAAGCAUUUUUUCACCAUGACAUGGGAAAGGGCCACAGAGAUCCAAAUGGAAACGGACAUUUCAUUUGAGUGACUGUUUCUACCCCACCUUGGCUUUAUGCCUAAUUCAACAGGCACUUAGGUGGCUGAAGAGGGAAAUUUUUGUUCAAGUGAAUCCAGUUCUGAGUUGGACACAGAGCCUUUUGACUGGCGGCCGAGUUUCUUGUGCUAGCUGGCAAAAUUAGCAAAUUUUUCUUUUAGUUGUUGUUGUGGGGUUUUGAAAAUAUCUCAUUUCCUGGCAACAGUUUUCUUUCUCCAGGAGAUAAAGGGAAACAACUCUUCCAUCUACACCAUGUAACACUUCUAUCAUCUUAGAAAGUAUUUUGUCAAACAGGCAGGAUCCCCUGAAGACUUACUCUGGUUCUACAUGGCCUCUCCACAGCUGGCUUAAAACCAAUGGUCUCAGGAAAGUCCUCCGUUGCCUGCUUGUGGAUGUCAGUGGGAGUCUGCAGGCUGUCAUCGGAAAGCUCAUCUUACAUGUAUGACCCAUGGGGGCUGUGUGUGCGUGCGUGUGUGCGUGUGUGUGUGCUCGCGCGCAUAUGUGUGUGUGCAAGGGGUGGGCAGAGAGCCUAGUUUUAAGUUCUCAUGUAUAGUCAAAACGAUUGAGAAAAUUAUAAAGAUAAAGGUAACAUUCCUUCCUUUGUUGCUCCCCAGGAAGCAAGAUAAAAUGUCUUGGGAAUGGCCAACUAUCAUGUGGAUGUAAUUAAUACACACCACUGUGGGAGUCAAAAAUAGUCUUCUACUCUGGGGGAAAGUGAAAUGACACAAUCUCUCUGGAUGGUAUUGUAGCACAAUAAGUUGAAAGAAGCAUGUCUAUACGAAGGACUCCUGAUCAUAAGAAAAUAUUUACAGGUAAAUACUAAGAACUGUUUUUGUUGUAAGAGAAAAAGUGUAAACAAAUUGGGGAGUGGUCAACUGACUGUGGCAUAUUCAUGAAAUGGAAGAUUAUUGAGUUCUGUUUGCAAAGACCAUCCAAUGAUAAGAGGUAAUAUUUUGAGGGGACUAGAGGGGAAAAAAAAGAAAACAAAGUUCAGUGACAACUUUGUAUAAAUAUAUAUGCAUACUUGUAGAGAGUAAAUGAGUAAUAAGAAACAUGCCAAAAUUAUAACAGCAGUUCUCUCUUUAGAUUGGCAUCCUAGAUAGGUUGAAUAGAUAGAUUGUAUAGAUGAAAGAAUGAUAACACAUUUUAUUAGAUAUUAAAAGAAAAAUGUUUACCCAAUCUAAGAAUAUUAAAAAAUGGACACACCCAGAGUUAAAAUAUAUUUAAGAAAACAUCCUUUUUUCAUAUGCCUAACUGCCAGAGAAUAUAGUUUAAAUAAUGUAGCUUGAAACAUGAUUAAGAAAUCCUAGGUAAGACAGAGGGCCCAGAGACCACCUAAGUCCUCCUCUGCUCUCCCAAGGAAGAAAUGAGGAGCACAGAGAGACAGUAUCUGUUCGAUCAAGGUUAUAGUUUGUAAUGAGGCCAAGACAGGUGCCAGCCCAAAGCCCAUUCCAAUACAACAGACUGCAUUUUAUAGUUAAUGAUAUUCUUCCUUUAUUUAUAUUUAGGAUAUUGAUUUGAAUAUGAGACUGGAUUAUUUGGUUGGCAUAUCCAUCUCUUAAAUGGUCACCUGUCUCUUGAUACUGUGGAUUACUUAUACUUCUGAAUUUGAAAAGGUUGUCACAACGUCAGCAGCACCCUUACACUUUGUGAGAUGGUGUCCUACCAGUGUAUGUAUGCAGCAGGCGCUUUUGUCUUUGAACCUGUUGCUACUUAUGCCUCUGACUUUUAACAUGGAUGAUUUUUUGCAUUAGAAACUGCUUAACCAAAAAAUGCAAGAAAAAUAAGCCCACAGAAAUGAUUUCUAACACAGUAACACAACAUGCCUUUAAUAAGAUAUUUUUUUUUCUGUACCAAGAACAGAACCUCGUAAGAAUUCAAUAAAUACUCGUUGACUGAAUUAAUAAAUGCAUAAUGUUUUUGGAAACACUUUCCUGAUGGUACAGAAUUAUAUAUAGUUAGAAUUGGCAGUGAUAUUUAAAUAAUUCACGUGGGUCCUUCCUUAAAUGGUAUUAUAAAACGAGAUUUCCUAGAGCACAAGAAUAGAUUUAUUAUGGUAUAAGCCCUUACUUUUCUCAAUGUAGAUCUUAUGCUGCAAAUAUUAACUGUGAAAACAUCACAAAAUACCUACCUGGUAUUACAGCCUUCUUACAAUUCAGACACUGAAUAUUUGCAAUUUCUAAGUAGGGAAUAUUUAAGGUAAUGAGUUCUGAAUAAUAUUUAUUAACCACAUUUUAAUGACCCAUCCUUUUUAUUGAAAACAUUAAAAUCUUUUAGAAAUCACUUUAUAAAUGCCAUUUUAAUUCUUUUGCCAUAUUCAUGGACCACUGCUUUCUUAAGAAAAGAGAUUAACUGAUUCAGGUUUAGAGAAACAAAUUACUGUGCUAAUCUUCAGGUAUUUCUCUUCUUGAUAUGGCCACUAAUGUCUAAUUGGAGCAGCACAGGCCCCAGCCCAUCACAGUAGUUUUUUCAUGAGUGCUCCACUGAAUUAUUUGUCAGGGAUUUAAAAUCUGGUGUAAAAAAACACACUAACCUUCAGCAGUCUUACAAAGCUUUCAAACACAUUCUGAGUCUUCUAAAAUAAUUCAGAAAAUUGGCCUCAUGCAAAGUUAGGGGCUACCAUCAUACAGGAAGAGUUCUCAUGUAUCGCAGGAAUUUUAGGGAGCAUUUGUAGACCUAUUUGCAGGAUUCUAAGGAUUGAAGAGUUGGGAUUCCCUGUGACAAGAACUAUUGAACAGCCAAGAAGAAGAUUGGCUGAUCUGUCCCAUAGCGAUAAGGUGUUUAGUUUGACCUUAAUGUUUUUAACAAAAUUGAGAAUUAUUCCUCAGCCAGGUUUCUGGCCUCUUUUGAUAAACUGGAGAUCUGGUAACAUUGAGUUUCCUUCCUCUUCUGACAAUAACCUGCUCAUAUUGGGUAGUACUGCCUCUCUAAUUUGCUACACUUUGCAUCUGCCUUAGCCUAUUUUGCAUGGAUAUCAAUACAUCUCCUGCAUGUUCAGUAUGGGUAUUUGGUCAGAGAACUGAAGCAUUGCUGGUGCUUCCUUUGACCACAGGAAUGUUUUAUUUCCAUAUUGUAUUAGAAAGUACAUUAAAAUUUUAGUGCAAAUUUUUUUUCUCUAUCUUUGUAUCUUUGUAGGUCUGAAUUGUUAUCAGCUCUGUGUGUUCAUUUUAUCUCUUUUGUUUUUAAGGAAGUGACUUAAGGUUUCACAAUCAGCCUUUCUGGUUACUACCAUCUUUGUUGCUCUCCCUAUUUUCUGAACUCAUGUAGCAUUCAUUAUCUCUAAGAAUUUUGCCAUUUAAUUGGCACUAUGAUAUUGCUCUAGAUUUCUAUUGAAUAUGUUAAACUGUUUUCUCCAUGAAGGGUGCAAGAUUACUUCGGUGAUAUCUUGGAGCCCAGCGGGGUGCUGAUAUACAGCAGAUCACAUGUAGACUUAAUGAUCAGGUAAUUCCAGUUCUUUACUCUUUAAGACUAAUUUUGUUUAGAAUAGAAAAUUUUAAAAAAUCACUUAUUGAACUGUAACAUACCACCCCUAAUACAUAGCAAAUUGAAUAAUACUAAUUUAUUUUUUAUGCUUUCAGAAAGAAGUGUUUCUAAUAAAUGCCUAACAUAAAAAUGUAAGAUCUUGCCCUGAAUUUCUAUUGCCUUACACGUUUCUUCUUACCACUACUGAGCCAAUGUUUUCCUCUUUUAAUUUCUCUAUUAACUUUAAUUAGGCUCAUGAGUUUGCUGGCCAGGUGGGUUUUCCCUAAACACUCACAACUCCGUUUUCUAGGCUAGCAGUAGAAUUAAGUUAAGCUGCAGAUUUGAGGCAGAAUCUAACAUUAUAAGCUGUGGAAGGUUCCAAUGCCACUACAACUCAUUUCAUCCACUGAGGAUUUCAGCAGGCAGCACUUUUAAUAAGCUAGGCUCGGCAUUUUUCAAGGAAUACUUUGGGAUCCAUUUUUGAAAGCAAUAUUGGUUAUGAUUCCACAGCUGGAAGAUUUCUGAGGAAAUAAUGUUUGUCCUCUUGAAAACAUGUUUGGUCCGUACAUACUGAGUAUCCAGUACUAAAUUUUACCAUCGCAUAUUUCUAAUAUAUAAUUUUCCAACAGGAUUGCAAUAGACACUGGAUAGAAGAAUAGUAGGAUCACCUCCAAUUUAAUCUUUUAUUUCAUCUUUUAGGAGACACAAAAUUUCUUACAUAAUUUAUAUCUUUUAGUGCAUUAACAUAGAUCUCGUUUGAAAUUUUCUUUCAUUUUUUUUUUUUUCCGAAAAGGAGCAGAAUAGAGCUGAAAAUCUUCUUGCGAUCCUACAGGGCAUUGGAUCCUCUCAGGUACUGGCUGCUGGUUUAUAAAAGGAUAGGAUUUCCAUUUACUCCAGGCAGGCUUAAUGUAUUGUUCUCGGAGUGAGACAGUCAGAAUGAGUCAGGAGCCAAAGAAUACACUUUAUAGACACAAAUAAUCGUAAAUUCAGAAUGUCACCUUUAGGCAGAGGCAUUUUUAUUAUUGUUAGUGGAGCUGCUGAGUAGGUUUGAUGUUUUAUUCUCUUGAGGACUCAAUGUUCCCGAGUCCUGGAGCCCUGUCUUUAUCAGGCUCGCAAGGAGGGAGCCCAGCCAAACUUGCUUCCUAUACUUCUCUAUGAUUGAUAGCAGAUGGCAUGCUUUAAAAUAAACCUAUCCAUUAGCAGUCCUCAGUGUUUUUACUCAAGGCAUUUACAACUGUCUCAAGCAGAAAACACAUUCACUCCAUGAGCUAGUUUCAGUCCACAACAGCUGUACAGGUGCAAAUCUCUCAUUAACUCUUAAAUAGUGGUGAAAUAAACAAUGGCUUUUCUCUGACUUUAUUUAAGGGAGUAUACUUCAAAGCUGCUGUGGAAUUACUCUCCUCCACAAUGGAGGAGUUUUAUUAAGCUGAGCUAUAUUAUGUAGUGAUACGCUUGUCCUAGGAAUGCAUGUAGUUUAAAAGUUUAUAUCUAUGCACAGAUUUAGUGGUAAGUUUUCAGUCUCCCAGGUGUGUUUCUGAAGAAGUAGAAAAGAAAGAAAAUCUUAGUAAGGGUCCCCAGCAGCUCUCAGGUGCCUGGAUUCAUGUGCCUAUAUGUACUCAACAUGUCCUGAGAGGUAGUACUCACACUGAGCUGGUGUAAAUAUAAUGAACUGGUGGUGUAAUUGGGAAGCCGAUUGAAUUUCUUGCACAUUGGUAGUUAGACAAAUGUAAAAAUCAUUUUUAAAGUUAAUUUUUUAUCCAUGUUGAACACAGGUGAGAAGGUUGGCCUCAGGAUUUUGCUUUGUAAUCCAGGUCAGAAAAAAGGCUCUGUGGUUUAAAGAAUAUUGUUUCUAAUACUGGCAAACAGCUAAAAGGACUUAUGUUGUGUCAAGUAUUAUUCUAGAAGCUCAAAAAAAGUUAACUUAUUUAAUCUUACCAGAAAUCUUUGAAGAAGCUAUCAAUUUGCCCACUCCUGUAAGUGAUGAAACCACUAUGGUCUGUGAUCAUUGUUAUAAUAACUGAGACCUUAACCAGGGUUUUUCCUGACAGGAGAAAUAGAGAGCCUGUAUUCAGAGACCAAACUGGCCAGGUUCAAAUCUUGCUUUGGUUCUUCUAUCUGCAUGACCAUGGCUCUGAUAUUUGAUGGCCCUCUGUCUUGGUGUCCUUCUUUCUUUAUUAAAAAUUUUUUUUAGUUUUAGUUGGAUACAAUAUCUUUUUAUUUUUAUGUGGUACUGAGGAUUGAACCCCGAGCCUUACACAUGCUAGGCAAGUACUCUACCACUUGAGCCACAACAGCAGCCCUGGUGUCCUCAUUUCUUAUUUGACAACCUGACUUUAGCUAAUAACUGCCUACCUAGCAUGGCUGUUGUGAUGACUGGAGGAAUUAAUGUCUGUAUCAUGAGUAAACUAUUGCCUGGUAGGAAGUCAGUCUGUGGAAGUUUUAGCUAUGGCAUAGUCAUCACCAUCAUUCUAAGAGGUACUAGAUUGACAUUAAACAUUUGAGAUAAAUUAGUGAUCUCUGCUCAUCUUCUAUGUCUGGAACUGUAAGUUUGGAAUAAUUUCAAUUUCCAAACAAAACAAUUCAUUUGUUUUUAUUUCACCCUUUAUUAAUUAGACACAGACCAGAGUUGCCAAUCAGAGACUCUGAUCAGCAUAAGGUAAUAAGAGUUUUCAUAUGAAAUUGAUAAGAUUUUGCCCCAAAGCAAAGUAAUUUGACACUCAGCUUCAGUAGCAUUAUUAUUGGUAAAUGUGUUAUUCCCUUAGGCCUUCUGAAAUAAUGAAACUGGUUAAUGGAGCCCUUCAUUACAACCUUCCAUGGGUCCCCAUGGGCCCAUGCUGCCAUGAUAGGUGAACCUGAGCCAAAAAUAUCUCUUCAGUGGGCAGCUGGAGAGGCGAAGCAGGAAAAGUCAUAAAGUCUGCCCCGUGACUGACUGUACCUCAUGCUAUUUUUUUCAAAGGGUAGGCUAUGUUAAAGGACUUCAAGAAGGUCACUACAACAAAAGUAUGCCAUUGAUUUACCAAAGAAAAAUGUAGAUCAUUCUAGAAAAUAUGAUGGAAGAAUCCAAGUAUAUACAGAGUACUUCCAUUACAAAAACCCAUCUUCAUGGUUCUCACCAGGAAGGUUUUUUUUUUUUUUUAAUUUUAUUUAUUCUUUAGAGAUGAUUGCUUUUCUGUUUGUGGAAGGGCAUUUAAAUGUGUUUUAGAAUAAAUAUACCUGAAUAUAGGUGGGAAAAAUAACUACAUGACAAGGGGAAAUUCAAGUGAAGAGCACCCUUUGUUAUGACUGGGAUAUUUUAUAUUGGUAUACAUAAGAGAUAUCCAGUUAUUACAGUUGCAACUAUUCAGUUACCAGGAAUAGUUCAUUUUGGAUUUCUGAAAAGUAAUUUUAUAUUGGGUGUGGUUAUAAAAGGUAAAUGCUAGGCCAAUGGAUAUUCCAUACGUCUUGUUGUAGGCUUCCAGGGAAUAUGGCUGGUAAUUUGAGAUCACUCAAGGGCAUUUUGGUGUGUAGUUUUAAAGGAUGUUGGUACAUUAAUGGUUCCUCUACAGUUCAUUACUGGUUUUAGUAUCACACUGAAUGGGAUUAAGUUUGUUAAAUUUAUGAACUCACUAGAUAGAAAGAAGUCUAAAGAAAGGGGCCUAAGAAAAAAGUAUACUUACAGCAGUAAAUAUCCUGUGAGAGAAGUUAAGUUUCAAUAAGAUUUUUUUUUUCUUCAGAAAGGUAGAUAUUAGGAGUUUGCAUGGAUUUAAGCAUAUGUUUAAACAUCAAAAUUCUUCUGGUAGAGCUGGGUGCGGUGGCACAUACCUGUAAUUCAAGCAGCUUUGGGGACUGAAGUAGGAUGAUUGCGAGUUCAAAGCCAGCCUCAGCAAAAGCGAGGCACUAAAUAACUUAGUGAGACCCUGUCUCUAAAUAAAAUACAGACAAAGGCUGAAGAUGUGGCUCAGUGUUUGAGUGCCUCUGAGUUCAAUCUCUGGUACAAAAAAAAAAAAAAAAAAAACCCAAACAAUUCUUCUGAUAGAAUGAACUUGUAUCCCAUGUAAGAAUAUAUUAUUGUAGAAGAAUAUACUUUUGUAGAAGAAUAUAUUAUUGUAGAAGAAGAAUAUAUUAUUGUAGAAGGGAUGUGUGAACUAGUUGCAGUUUUAGUUACAUAGUAUAUUUUGUUUUGUAGGAUUCAAAAUAAUCAGCAUCUGGAAUGAAAUGGUGGAAACAGUGAAAGGAAUGGGAGAGGAACUGAAUACCUUGAUACCUGCAUUCUACAAAGGGAAACAAUUCGGAAUCUGUUUGCCAUUUGACAAGAGUAUGCCACCUCUUUAUUUCUAAUUGAAAACUCUCCAUGUCUCAAUUACUAAACUGCAGGCUGAGUUUCAGGGUCAGAAAAUCAAGGGAAUGCCAGGUGGACUCCUGUCACUUUCCCUCCCACUCCUGGGUGUGGGGCAUCUAAAUUCUCAGUGCUGCUUUCCUGGGGUCCUCCUCACUCCAAGUGCACUUGAAAUGAGAACCAACUAGUCCUGUUAGCCUCUAGAUGGUCCCUAAAACUCAAAUGUUCUGGAUCACUAACGCUUCUCACUUUGUGGUGGGGUCUCGUUUCAACUGGGCAGAUGUGCUAAAUGGAGAAAUAAAUAAUGAAUUCAUAAUUUGAAAAGUACAGCUUUUCUAGUGCUUUUACGUUGUCUCCAGGGCCUGUGUUCUUUUGAGGAGUACUUCCAAAUAGGAAUAUUUUGACAUCUCCCACAUUUACUCAUUUAUUUACCAUUAUGGUUUUAAAGCUACUGGACCCAUUAUUUUCUUUUUGUUAAUCAUUUUGUUCCUUAUUCAGUGUAACUUUAAAAUAAUUUCUGCUCGUUCAUACCCAGUCUGUUUUUUUCUAAUCUGAUCCAAAAGUCGUGUUUCUGGGGUUCAUCUCCAUUGCUAUUCAUCCCUGGAACUCCUCUUUUUCCCUUGAAGAUGUGUUCCUAUUUUGAUGAAAAUUUGAAAUUAGAAAUUUCUAAAUAGGGCAUAUCUGAAUCUGUUUCGUUCUAGUCUCAGUAUCAUUGGAAAGUUUUGGAAGCUGAGAUCUGCUCCCAAACCGUGGGCUGCAGUUGAGUUCCUGAGCUUUAUUAGUCCUGUGUUAGAGUAGGCAUCAGUUACCCAGAGUUUUCUAAUGUGAAUAGCAGCCUGUUUAUAAUAAGGAAAUUACAUUUGGCUUAUGAAACUUUGCUAAUAACUAUGUAAUUGAUGGAAUUAUCUAAAAUAAUAACAAUUUCUUAGGCAUGUAUUGAGUUGAGCACCACUCCUUGCAAUCAUUCUUCUUGUUAAUGGAGGAACAGAUGGAGGAAACAAACUAACCCAGUUCAGAUUUCAUUACUGUUAUACUUUUAAUAGCACCUUACAUUUUGUAGGGUGCUUUCCAGUUCCUAUUAGGAAUGAAUCAUUUAGAAAAUGUGAUCUUGUGAAUAUGAUUACGGUUAAGGGUUAGUAGACAGAUUGAGUUUUCUCUUUCCUGACCAUCUCUAUGACUUAGGAAGCAAUGACAAGUGGCCCCAUUUCUCCAUAAUCAAACUUUCUACUCUAUAAAAAGGGUGCAAUAUUGCUAUGUUUGUCUACGUAUUGGUAAACAUUAUCCUAGGCUAUUUGCCAUAAGCUCUUUUUUUUUUUUUCCCCUUGCAGUGCUGGGGAUUGAAGCCAAGAUCUCAUGCAUUCUAGGCAAGCACUCUACCACUGAGCCAUAUCCCCAAACCCUGCCAUAAGCUCUUUAAAAGAGGAAACCCAUAAGUAAGAUGCAAAGUGCUACUUACUGUAGUUAUCCAGCACUCCUGUUUCCCACCGUCAUGUUUUCAGAAGAACAAAGAAAUGAUAAAAUUGUCCUGGAACCAGAGGUACUUGAAGGUGGUCAAGGGGUUGAGUUGAAUUCCCUAUGGUAUUUGACAUUUAUAUUGUUCAGCUGAGUUUGUUGUUGUCUGGAGUAAUAUUAAGUUGGGUUUCCAUUGUUUAGCACAGUUAAAAAAGCAAAUGGAUUUUUAAAUGUUGAAUAUCUAGCAAAUUAAGAAGUUGUAAAUCUUCAUGACCAAAGACAAUGAAGCAUUGCCAUAUGAUUAACAAAAUCAGAAUUUAAAUCAACAACAAUUAUAUAUAAUUAUAUAUAUAUGUGUGUGUGUGUGUGUGUGUGUGUGUGUAUGUGUGUACUUUAACUUGUGGAAAAGUAAGAAAAUAUUAACAGGAAUUAACAAAAGUCCUUUAAAUAUUAUCUUAAUUAUUUACAAAACUAAUUUUUCCAUUGCAUAUUUACUAUGGAACCAUUGGGGUGUAUAACAAACAGAGUUUGAAUGACCGGUUAUCAGUUUUGGUAAAAAUUGGGUCUUAUAUUUUGCUGAUACAAUUUUCUUAUUGAGAAAUCUUCUUUGUUAUGAUUCCCAGGAAUAUUUUUUUAAAAAUACCUUUAUAAUAAACAAAAUAGCAAUAUAAAUUUUUAUGGAACUUUUAUUUUCAAAGGAUCCCAGAAUGCUUAUAAACUGUUAUUCAAACCAUAUACAGGAAUUGCUGAAGCAUAGCUACACUUUGGAGCCAGAAGACAAGCUGAAAUGUCAGUUAUAGAAGACCAGGACAUUCCUGCUCUGCAAGGGGUGUGGUCUGGGUGACCUAAUGGGGCAUUCUGGCUGUGCUUUCUGCGCUGCUGUGUGGGUGGAAUGCCUCUGCCUUGGAGCAGCACAAGGCCAGGCUGUAUGGCUGUGGGCAAAGGGAAGUGAAGGAGAAUCAGGUAGUGGAAAGAGGAGGCAUGAAAAAGGGGCUGUUUGUUACAUUCCCAUCACUAGGUGGCAGGGACUGGAACACAGUCACCGUUGGUUGGUUGAGACUCCUUGCACCUGGAGUAGAGUAACUCUGUCCCAGAUGCUAUUUGAGAAAAAUCACUUUGAUUGCCAAAUGAAAAUUCUUCUCUUAUGGGAAUGUUUUGGGAAAACCAAAAAUAAAAACUAACAACAAGUUAGACUGAUUCACAUACAGAAUCUCAAGAAUGUUAGAGUGGCAUGGACCUUAGAGAUAAUCUGGUUAAAUUCCUUCAUCUUUGUCUUUCAGAAAACUGGGACCCAUAGAGAGAAAAUGGUCAGAGCAAUACUUAGUUCAGAACUGUGCAGUUGGAAGAGAACCUAGCAUUCACUAGCUACAUCUGCCUUGCUAUUAUAGAAUGAUGUCUGAAACAUUUCUAAGAGUUCCUUCAGCAGUUGUGUUAAUAGAGAGGUACUCAUGACCUCCAAGAGCUGCCUUUCCCACUGUUGGUCAUCUUUUCUUAGAAAUCAUCUUCAUAAUAUUCAUUCUUCAUUGCUUUUACGUGCAUUUAAUGAGUGACAACUAUGUGUCUGGUAUUAAGUGUGAUACAUGCAUACAAAGUAGGAUAAUAACAAAACAAUAGAACCUAAUAAUUCUCAGGAGCACAUAUGUGUCAAUUACUUAUUGUUUUACACGUUUUUACUCAUUUACUCCUCAAAACAUGCUCAAGGAUUAGAAUCGUACUUUUUCUAUUUACAGAUAAGGAAAAGAACACAAAUUAUCUGCUAAAGCAAAACAGCUAGAGGAAAAGAGCACAAAUUAUCUGCCAAAGCAAAAGAGGUGGAGUCAAGGUUUAAAGCAGGCAUCAUUGCUAUAAAAGCCCACACACUUAACAGAAACACAGUGUUGCUCCUUAAGCCACCAACUAAACAAUCAUGCCAUAGCUGAUUAGUAUUAGUACAACAAGGUCAGUUAACAGGGCUCUGUAUGGGGUUUAAUGGGGGGGGGGUCCCUGUUACCUGUAGUGCUCAGGGAGGAGCUUUACGAAGGAAGGGAAGACUACAAGGAACCAUUGAAGAGAGGAGCCAUCUUCAGAGGGAAAAACAGGCCAAAGUUUUCCUGAAUGAGGGGGGCAAAAUGUGCUGGAUUUUGAAGCACCAAUUUUCUGCCUCUAAAGAUUGCCAACUUAAUGCUGUCAUUUAACUACAUAGAGCAAAUUGAUUCUCUCCUUCCCUCCAUCUCUGUCUCUGUUUCUGUCUCUCUCUGUUUGGGAGUAAAGUAUGUUUUGUUUUUUCUUCCUUUGAAGAGCAUUAUAUAAACCAUUAAUCCCUACUUUUAUAAAAACAGACUUUUACC